AGUUCAAAGAACAACAACAAAGUAGCCAUCUGUGCUUAAUUUCAUCAAUCCACUGUCGAUGGUCACGUGAGCCUGGCUUUUGGACUGAGGCAGCGCACGUGGCCAGACCUCAGUCCCCCCCACCCCAUGGUCCUGGGGGUUGGGGGGGCAGGAGCCUGGUGCCCUGUGGGCAGCGGAGGGCAGCGCACCUGUUGCCAGUGAGGGGAGGCCAGCGCUCUUCUCAAGACACAGUCCCCAACCCCCUGGGUGUUUAUGCCGCUUAGCCCCCCACUAGCUGGCUGCUUCCUCCCACCAGUGGGCUUUCCAAGGAAGGCGCUGGCCUCCUUCCUGUCCACAGACCCCAGGUGAAGGCGUGGAGCAGACACAGGGGAUGGUGGUGGCUGCACGGCCUGACCUGGCCCCUGAAGAGGGUGCUUAUCCAAACCACUAGAAAAUCUGUCCCAGUGACCGGAGGCCGCAGGACCCAGGGGCUCCCGCGGGGUCAGGGGGUCAGCCAGGCCUCCUUCCUGCUGCAGGGAGGUUCACUGCGCUGGUUCCUGCUGUGUUUGGUUCCCUUACCUGACUGGGUUCUAGAAAUCACCAGUCUGUCUAAUUUGUUUGCAUAAAGCACCUGGAGCAAUGAAGGCAGGGAUGCAGCUCGGUGGCUCUUGUUUCCCACUGGAACUUUGGAUGA